CCAAGUGACAGAUUCUGCCAAGUCAGACAAGC
rnacentral:piRNA from 1 species